ACACAUCGCUUAUUUUUGUUCAACUCUGUGUCCUUGUCCCUGCAGGGAGAGCGAGGCCCCCCGGAGAGAGAGGUGAGGUGGGACCAAACGGACGCCCCGGACCUAAGGGUGGCGCCGGAGCUCCAGGACCAGACGGACCAAAGGUAUGAUCCCCAGUGUGCUUUUGUCCAUGUUCAAAUCCACACGCGGUAAAUAAUGCUCUUACUGUGUCUCAGGGGGCCGCGGGAAGCAAAGGCGGCGUCGGAGAGCCCGGUUCUCAGGGGCUGAUGGGAAUGCCCGGAGAGAGGGGCAUCCCAGGAACCCCAGGGCCCAAGGGAGAUGCUGGAAGUGUGGGAGACGCAGGACUUGAAGGCAAAGCCGGAGCUGAUGGGCCACGGGGACUGGCUGGUCCUGUGGGGCCUCCUGGAUCAG
rnacentral:lncRNA from 1 species